rnacentral:rRNA from 1 species
UGCGAACUCCUACGGGAGGCAGCAGUGAGGAAUAUUGGACAAUGGUCGGAAGACUGAUCCAGCCAUGCCGCGUGCAGGAUGAAGGUCCUAUGGAUUGUAAACUGCUUUUGUAAGGGAAGAAUAAGGAGUACGUGUACUUUGAUGACGGUACCUUACGAAUAAGCAUCGGCUAACUCCGUGCCAGCAGCCGCGGUAAUACGGAGGAUGCGAGCGUUAUCCGGAAUCAUUGGGUUUAAAGGGUCCGUAGGCGGGCUGAUAAGUCAGAGGUGAAAGCGCUUAGCUCAACUAAGCAACUGCCUUUGAAACUGUCAGUCUUGAAUGAUUGUGAAGUAGUUGGAAUGUGUAGUGUAGCGGUGAAAUGCUUAGAUAUUACACAGAACACCGAUAGCGAAGGCAUAUUACUAACAAUUUAUUGACGCUGAUGGACGAAAGCGUGGGGAGCGAACAGGAUUAGAUACCCUUGUAGUCCUAUC